CCUGAACUUAAUACUUUCCACAUGCAAUGAUUUUUCAUUCGUUUAUAGCCAGUUUAAAAACCGGCCGGUCCGUGUGCACAUUAAUAAAGGAUAUAACAAUAUAAUCAAUCACCGCUAUAUAAGCCUAUAUUAUUCAUAAAACAUGCUUAUUUUGCAUAAACAAAGUGAACUUAUUCAAAACCCUUGAAACAAUUCAGAAAGAUACAAAUACACAAACAUCUUUAUUCUGCCGUUUCGUUCUAGAAACGAAGAAUAUUUACAAGAACUUCACGAGUUUCUAUAAACCACGCACUAUAGUAUAUUACCACGAUGUGUCAUUUAACUUUUUCAACGACAUUAAUUCAAGUAGACGCUCACUCAGUCGGUCUCUUGAACUAUCAAAACAAUGCCAGUUAAGUCACGAAAGGAAAUUAAUGAAAACUAGAAAAAAUUAAGCACAUUUUGGAUCUGGAUGUGGAAUCUUCCUACCUGUUCUAUCAAUCUGAACACUUUUGGGCGUUUUAAAACGUGGCAAAUUGGACAUUUUAGCCUACGAAGGAUUUUCGACUGAUGAUUGCAUGAGUGAACAUAAAAGUGUUUCUCAAGAGAUAUUGUGGAUAAUCUCAUGCAUGUGACAAAAAAUUUCACGCAAAUAAAAUUUCACGCAAAUAUUCACUUUAUAUUCUGUAAAUGGUAUAAAUCAGAGCAUGAAGCUAGUGCCAAGUCCCAAAUGUUUUUUUUCUAAUUUUUUUAGCCUGCUUUGAAGAGAAUAUUUGAAG